rnacentral:lncRNA from 1 species
AUGGGAGGUGGUAAUAGGCAGAACAAGUCUUCAUCAGGUUUCUUCUCUAUUUUCGCAUGCUUCACAUCUAAGAAUAAAUAUGGAGCAGGUUACUAUGAUUAUGAUACUGGGCGCAGAACAUGGCCUAGCGAUGAGGACAAAGGUAACUGGGGUGUUGCUGAGCCAAAUAUUAACAGGAAAGCCGAAGAUUUCAUCCGCAAAUACAAGAAUCGUGUUUCGGAAUCUGAACGUUAUGAACUUGAUCCUGCUGCCUAG